rnacentral:rRNA from 1 species
AUGCAGCAGCCUACAAAUAGAGGCCACCGUCUCACAUCCACGGCAUCCAUUCCACUUGCACCCACAGAUCGACCCCCAUGGCAACCGGCUGUCGCUCCACCUCCGCCACCCGGGCCAUCGUCCUCGCGCUGCUGCUCCUCUGCUUCGCCGCCACUACGGUGCAGUCGAGGAAGCCUUCGGCCAGGUACAUCUCGUACGCGGCCCUCCCAAGACCCGACUGCCUGCGAGCCGGCCGUCCCGUUUUCUGCCGCGGGGUCUCGGCCAUCUCCGGCAAGCCUUCACCCGGAUGUGCAUGUCACGACUCGACGCGGAGAUGGCGGCGGAUCUUCACAGAGAUCCCUGAGCCCCUAG